UUUUCUCUCUCUAGAUUUUUUCUUACUGUUUCUUCAUUGAGGGGUGGUUUUGGGUCAAUUCUUAACAUAAAAUCAUCCAUCUUCAUCUUUUUCUCUCUAUUUCAAUCUAAAUAAGUGAUUUUCACAUAGAUCUAGGUUUUUUUCUUUGUGAUUUCAUCAUCUAAGUGUGGUGGUUUGUUUUUCGUCGUCUUGUGCGGUGUUGUUUCAUUUCCCUAAUUAAUCCCGCCUUUUUGGGUGGAUCUGAGUAAUUUUUAUGAAAAAAAUUAGUUUGCAAGGAAUCAAACCAGGUACCAUAUGCUCACACUUUACAACUACAUCCGCUAUGCCACUUCUAUUUUUGUUGAAAUAUUGUUGCUUCCAAAAAUGAAAUACAUGACUAAAACAUUUUUUUUAAAGCCCGAACCACCCUAAUAGUUUCCUCUCUCAUAUCAGUUAUUUUUUAUUAUUAGCAGUACCUUUAUUGAUAAUAGUUCUUUCAGUAUGCUUACUACGUUUUACGAUAUUAAAGUUGUAUCUUUAAAAUUGUAGAUAAUUUGACUGAUUCAGAUGAUAAUUUUAUCAUUAGAAACUUCACUUUUUCCUUUAAUUUUGCCGGCCUCUUUGUUUCUCAUAUAUUAUAUUACUUGAAGUUGUUUAUUCUGACUUGUUAUUUGCGAAAAUCACUACAGGAGACUAUAACAUUACUUUGUUUUGGCAAAGUAAGGACUUUGAUUCCAUAUUCAUUUUUGUUAAUUUCCAUUAGUUAUAAGGUGUUGAGAGAAUAUUAUGAGGCUACCUUGAUUCUGCUACCAGAUUGUCGGAUCCACAGAAUCCAGGGGAUCCACAAGAGCUGGAAAAGAUUAGGACUACUUGUGUGGAACUUUCCCACGGAAUUGGACGGAAAUGCGUUUUCGGACGGAAUUCGGAUGGAUUGGGCGUUGUCCGAAAAAGCCGCGUCGCAAAUCGUAUUUUCAUCCCAAUUUCUGUCCGAAAUAUUUUUCAGACGGAUUUCGUACGGUUUUCGCACAAACGCAGUUGUGGGAUGUUGGACUAAAUUUCAAACGGAUUUCGGACGGAAUUGAAUUUAAUUUCCUACGGUUUUCGGACAGAACUGAAUUUAAUUACCUACGGAUUUCAGACGGAAUUUAAUUUAAUUUCCUACGAUUUUCAAAUGGAAUUUAAUUUAAUUUCCUACGAUUUUCAGACGGAAUUGAGUUAUAAUUUCCUACGGUUUUCAGAUGGAUUCUAGACAAAUUUUCAAACGAUUUUCAGACGGAUUUAAAUUGCUUUAAAAUAUUUUCCACACUUUUCAAUCGUGGUUAUAAUUUUUUUUAUUUUACAAAAUUGCCACAAUUCAUAUUUUUUAAUGAGUUUGGGGUAAAUUCCAACAUGUAAAAUUGAUAUUCAAUAAUACAUAUUAAAUCAAAUAAAAAUAAAUAAUAAUUCAAGAGUAAACAAAUGUUCAUUGUCUGAAACAAAAUUAUAUAAACUAGAUUUAUAUAAGUGCUCAAUGUUCUAACACAAUAUAUCACAAACUAACAUGACUAAAUUGUCCAUUAGUCAGUACUCAACAAUAAAAGUAACACAAUGAAGUGCACUAGUAGGGAUAGGGGAGACAACAUAACUCCAACCAAAAGGAAAUAGCCAAAAAAACAAGGUAAAUAGGUUUGGAAACAUAACUCCAACCAAAAGGAACUCCCAUGACAAAGCCAGCCAAAUACAAGACAGCAGCAGUCAAACACAUAUUUCAUAAAAAAAAAAAAAACAGAGAAACUGGCAGCAACAACCACAAAACAGUUGAACAACAAAAAAUCAGUUGGGCCAAACUUAUCAUUCAAAUCCAAAAAUAUCAUCAUUGUUUUCAUUAGAGGCUUCACCAACAUCAUUUGGUUCAUCUUGCAUAGGUGUCACACAAGCAAAGUUUGGAGGCAAUGACAUAUUCUGUUGGAACAAAAUGUGUUUCACAAUGAACCUUAUUAAGUUUUGAUGAUAACAAGGUAUUAAAAAUUGUCAAUUGGUUAUUACUAAUAAUUGUUCAAGUGUACAGGACCAAAGGCUACUCAAGUUAUUUCAAUAGGUCUUGGAAGAACAAUGGAAAGAAAAAGAAAUUCUGAGCAUCUGAAGAAAACUGCUCCUGAAGCUGAAGUGCUUCUGAAGUGAUGACGUCAUCAGAAGCAGAAGGUCAUCAGAAGCAAAAGGUUUUCAUCAGAAGCAAUAUCUUCACCAGAAGCUACGUUUGAUCCUUUAAUCAAACUGAAGAUUCAAAGUAGCUGAUUCUCAAUUCAGUCUUAUCCAAGAAGAACGAAGAAUUGAAAGGGAGGUAUCAACGGAUAUAUGGAUAGCACUGAGCACUUGUCUCUCGUUAAUAGAGUUGACAAAGUACAAGUGUACAACCACUACCUCCACUACUCUGUUUUCUGUCUGCGCUACAAGACAAGACAACAGCCAUGCCUGCAGAAGUUGUACGUUCAAGAUGGGAAUGAAUUUGAAGCUUAUUCUUCAAAGGACUACACCCAAAUUAGGCAAAGGAUUACUGGUGGAUAAUCAAAGGAUUUCAAACGACUCUUUAGACGUGCUGAUUAUCUCAACGUCUCUUUCACGCCUCUAUAUAAAGGAGUGAAGACUUGAAGAUAAAAGAUAGAGAUACACAAGUUAAAAAGCGCCAAAACUCUGUCAAUUUGAUUCUAAAAAGCACACUGAAUUUCUGCACUGAUUUGAUACAUCUUAGAAAUUCAAAGUCUAGAGUCUUUAUUGUAUUGUAUUGUGAACACCACUGAUUGUAUAUCAAGUGUUCAACUCAAACUCAAUUCUCUGUAUUUUUGUUUGAUCAGAAGUCUCUUGCCUGCGUGCUUGAGCAUUAGAAGUCUCUUGCUUAGUGCUUGAGCAUUGGAAGACUCUUGCGUGUGUGCUUGAGCAUUUUUGUGAAGUCUCAUACUUAGAAAGUAUUGAGCAGUUGUAAUCUUUGUGAUUAUAGUGAAAUCUCCUUGGAAGUGCAAGGGGGACUGGACUACUUCCGUGUUGUGGAAGGAACCAGGAUAACUGCUUGUGUCUUUGUCUUUCUUUUCUCUGCUCUGUUCUUUUCCGCUGCAAUCUGACUCUGAUCAUUUCAUCAGAAGCACUCAAACUGCUUCUGAAGUUUUAUCAGAAGAAGUAUUUUACAAGAGAAAAAGAAAACACAAUUCAACCCCCCCCCCCCCCCCCCCCCCCCCCUUCUUGUGUUUUUCACCUUCAUAUUCAACUUUUCAAAUAAAGUUGCAAGCAUGCUUUCAUUUGACUCAAUUCUUUUUUGUUGCUGCUCCAAUUUUUGUUUUUGCUCUUGGUUUAUACGUUCUUGCUCUUUUACCUUUUCUUUCCAUUUUAAGAGCUCUUGUUCCAUGUUUUUUUUCCUUAAAGGCAUUUGAGCAUGAACCAAUAGUAUACUUCGAAGUAUUUGUUCUUCAAACUUUGUAGGUUUAAUAAUUAUAUAAAUAAAAAUAAAAAUAUUGGCCGUCCGAAAACCGUCUCAAUAUUUCCCACGGAUUUGGGACAGAUUUGUAUUUUUAACGAAAUUCGUGGGAAAAAAACCUUUUUGAACAUGUCAUAAAAAUUUCACACGAUUUUGGGACGGAUUUGGGACGAAAAUUACGCUCCUUACAAACCAUCCCAAAUCCGUCCGAAAAAUUCAGACAAAAACACAUCCGUCCGAAAACGCUAUUUUUUUAGUAGUGGUUCCCAUACCUCCUACGGCGAUUGGGCCUCUUGAGCCAGCGGAGGUGGUUACGGCCUUCUUGGAGUUUGCUCUCCAUGUCCAAAGCCAGCAAGAGAUCAGGGGUGAGUCGGUCCCGGAGGACGAGGGGCAUAAGCAUUCAAAGGGGUACAUGAAAUGAUUCUACCGUGUAUCCCAUCUUCUUAUGAUCGUCCCUGCUACCGUUCCUGAGGACCACAGUUCCCAGACCUCCCUAUGAGGAGGUUAUUGUUGAGCAGCGGUGGGCCAGACAUCCUCCCGAUCCAUACCAGAUGAUCAUCCAAAAUGUCAGAGUCGUAGUUAACAGCGCUAUGGAGGGGAUUCCUUACGUGUAUUCAAAUCUUGUUGUUGUCCGCGUUAUUGAGAUCAUUCGGCACCAGUAUCGCGUGUUGGAGGAGGUGCCGACUCCGCGGAGGAGGAGGAGUCCACGGAAGUAGUUGGCUCUUAAAAAAAGCAUACUGUCUCCCCACCACCACAAGUAGUAGGCUCUUAAAAAAAGCAUACUGUCUCCCCACCACCACAAUGAAUAUUGCCUAAAAAUAAUUCCGAUAUAUACAUCCACCUCCACUUAUACUGAGUUAAACCAAAUCAAAUAAUUGCAAAAAAAAGUAAUCCUAAUCCACAAUCAAUAAUUCCGAUAUAUUAGGCUUUUAAAAAGUUUGAUUUGCUUUGUGACGUGUAGGUUAAUCCGUAAGCAUAUGGAAAUCUGACGUAUUUUCAUUAAUAAUUGUACCUCCCACUCACCAUUGUCUCUAACUAGUAUAAAACAUUAUAUUAUUCCCUAUGUUUUAUGCAUCAAUACAAAAAUCACACUAACUAAGAUGGCUUCUUUUUUCUCAUACUUGCUUGUGUUUUUCUUUGCAUUUCUGAUUCUCAUCCCUCAAGGCUUUGGUAAUGCUCCUAACCAUAAUAAACAUUUACAUCAUCCAUCAUCAACAUAUGUACAUCCUACCACCUUACCCAAACCAACUUACCCUGCCAGUACCAACAUUCCAAAAAAGCAUCCUCACCACCCUCCAAAAGAAGAUAACACUCAUUUCUAAAGUAUGAAAUGAGAGUUAUGAAAUAUAUAUGUACUGAAUAAGUGGUUCUAGUUACCAAGCUGUUUGUUUUCUAUAUAGUAAUAUGUACUCUCCUACUUGGCAACUGUGGGUGGGGUGUUUUUGUGUUUUGUGUGUGUACGUGUCAUGAAUAAAAAUUACUUGACAAGAAAGAGUGCUAUGUACUGCAGAUUAUAAAUAUUUUUAUUUGUGACACCAGAUUAUAAUAAAUAAAUAUUAUGAUUGUGUGAGAUUGAUAGGUUUAAUUGAUUUAUAUAUAUCGAGCAAUUUCAGACCGUAAAUAAGUCUAUAAUAUAAUACUAGUUAUUGCUAAUACUACCUUUUACGUAAACCUUGCUCUUCCUAAAAAUAAAAUAAUAUCAGUCAAACAAUAAAAGUGUGAAGAAACUUGUGAGCAAUUACAUGACGAUGUUGAUUAAUAUCCUCGCAAGCUCCUUUUUUGUGGAUGUUGAUACUCUCAUUUUUUGUGAGAAAUCUUGGUCUACAAUUACAACUAUCAAAGCCAGGCUUUUCCUUUUUAAAUUAAUUUCAGGCCUUAAAGUUAACUUUCAUAAAUGUUUGUUAUUUAGUGUUAAUAUAUCUCUUAUUUGGUUGAAAAUUGAUGUCGGCACAUUGAAAAAGGUUGAAAACACUGGUAAAAGACGUAAAUACCCCGUCGACAGUUAAUUACCGAGGAAAACAACCGACGGCAGUUAACUACUGAGGAAAACUUCGACAGUAAAUUACCGUCGAUUCGAUCCUGAGCAUAUGCAAAACAGAAGCAUCAGUUUUCCCAUUUCAUCUUUUCUCCAAAACUUCUCAAAAUUCACUCCAAUUAAGUUUUGGACGAAAUUCAACUUAAUUAUCUCCAUUUUAUCACAAGUAAGUAGGUUUAAUAAUUUUUAAUCAUAAUGUCAGUUUGUGUAGGUUUUUUUUUAAGUUUUGUAGUUUGCAUGCUGUUAGGGUUGAUGUAGGAAUUGAUAUUUUGAUGAUUGCAUGUAGUUUAUAAAUGAAUGUAGCUGUUGUAAUUGAUGUUCGAACGUGUUUUAAGUACAGUAUGUUUUGAAUGGUGUCAAAUGAAGAUAAUUUGAAUACUUUUGAUACUUUGCACACAAAGUGUUUGACAAAAUGCCCAAAUGAAAAUUUUAUUGAUUAUUUAGUUAGUUUAUAUUAUGCGAAUUAUAUUGAUUAUUUAAUUUGAUAAAACAACAAGAAUCAUUCAAUAAUAUCUCCCUCUCCAACAAGUCGGCCCUAGUUUUCUCUCUCUAGGUUUUUUCUUACUGUUUCUUCAUUGAGGGGUGGUUUUGGGUCAAUUCUUGACCUAAAAUCACCCAUCUUCAUCUUUUUCUCUCUAUUUCAAUCUAAAUAAGUGAUUUUCAGAUAAAUCUAGCUUUUUUUCUUUGUGAUUUCAUCAUCUAAGUGUGGUGGUUUGUUUUUCAUCGUCUUGUGCGGCGUUGUUUCAUUUCCCGUCUUCGUGCGGUGUUCAUUUGAUUUAUAUUGAAAGAUCCAUUAUUCAAACAAAGAUUUGGGCGUCAACAUUGCAGAUCCGGAGGCCAUGGAUAUUCCGGUCACUUUAAUUUUAUCAUAUAUUUUUCUAGGCAUUAUGCUGUUAUAUGCUAUUAACUUGGAUGAUGCAUGUUUGUUCAUAGAUUCAUCCUUUACGUUUUUAGCAGUGUUGAAUGAUGUAAUCUCUCGAUUUGAAUGAAUGAAUAUCAUUUUGUUUUUGUCAAAAAAAAAAAGAUAUUUGUUUGAUCUUAAUAUAUAUAAAUGUUAAACAUUCUGAUAAGUUUCCCUAAUUAAUUCCGCCUUUUUGGGUGGAUGUGAGUAAUUUUUAUGAAAAAAAUUAGUUUGCAAGGAAUCAAACCAGGUACCAUAUGCUCACACUUUACAACUACAACCGCUAUGCCACUUCUAUUUUUGUAGAAAUAUUGUUGCUUCUAAAAAAGAAAUACAUGACUAAAACAUUUUUUUUAAAUCCCGAACCGCCCUAACAGUUUCCUCUCUCAUAUCAGUUAUUUUUUAUUAUUAGCAGUACCUUUAUUGAUAGUAGUGAUCUUUUUCAGUAUGCUUACUACGUUUUACGAUAUUAAAGUUGUAUCUUUAAAAUUGUAGAUAAUUUGACUGAUCCAGAUGAUAAUUUUAUCAUUAGAAACUUCACUUUUUCCUUUAAUUUUGCUGGCCUCUUUGUUUCUCCAAUAUUAUAUUACUUGAAGUUGUAUAUUCUAACUUUUUAUUUGCAAAAAUCACUACAGUAGACUAUAACAUUACUUUGUUUUGGCAAAGUAAGGACUUCGAUUCCUUAUUCAUUUUUGUUAAUUUCCAUUAUUUAUAAGGCGCUGAGAGAAUAUUAUGAAGGCUACCUUGAUUCUGCUACCAGAUUGUCGGAUCCACAGAAUCUAGGGGAUCCACAAGAGCUGGAAAAGAUUAGGACUACUUGUGUGAAAUGGUACCUCCUAUAUUUGGUUGGAUGCUUGUUGUUUGGUGAUAAAAGCAACAAACGCAUUGAGUUGGUCUAUCUGACGACCAUGGAGGACGGCUACGCGGGGAUGCGUAAUCAUUCUUGGGGAGGGAUGACAUUAGCAUACCUAUACCACUGUCUAUCUGAGGUCUCUUUACCUGGAGGUGGAGCUCUUGAGCGAAGCGUGACACUGGUCACUGCUGUAUGAAAUUGUCACAUUGGAACCUUAACUUUAUUUUUAUUUUUGUUUUAUUUUCGUGCGUAAUAAUUUAUAAAAGUGAUUUGUUUGGUUUGUGCAGGGAUGGUUUUUGUGUCACUUGCCGGAGCGGGGUCUGAGAUAGUACGGCUAUGUUCAGACCGUUCCCAUACCUCCUACGACGAUUGAGCCUCUUGAGCCAGCGGAGGUGGUUACGGCCUUCUUGGAGUUUGCUCUCCAUGUCCAAAGCCAGCAAGAGAGGGGUGAGUCGGUCCCGGAGGACGAGGGGCAUAAGCAUUCAAAGGGGUACAUGAAAUGAUUCUACCGUGUAUCCCAUCUUCUUAUGAUCGCCCCUGCUGCCGUUCCUGAGGACCACAGUUCCUAGACCUCCCUAUGAGGAGGUUAUUGUUGAGCAGCGGUGGGCCGGACAUCCUCCCGACCCAUACCAGAUGAUCAUCCAAAAUGUCAGAGUCGUAGUUAACAGCGCUAUGGAGGGGAUUCCUGAAGUGUAUUCAAAUCUUGUUGUUGUCCGCUUUAUUGAGACCAUCCAGCACCAGUAUCGCGUGUUGGAGGAGGUGCCGACUCCGCGGAGGAGGAGGAGGACACGGAAGUAGUAGGCUCUUAAAAAAAGCAUACUGUCUCCCCACCACCACAAUGAAUAUUGCCUAAAAAUAAUUCCGAUAUAUACAUCCACCUCCACUUAUAUUGAGUUAGACCAAAUCAAAUAAUUGCAAAAAAAAAAAAGUAAUCCUAAUCCACAAUCAAUAUUACCGAUAUAUUAGGCUUUUUGAAAGUUUGAUUUGCUUUGUGACGUGUAGCUUAAUCCGUAAGCAUAUGGAAAUCUGACGUAUUUCAUUAAUAAUUGUACCCUCCCACUCACCAUUGUCUCUAACUAGUAUAAAACAUUAUAUUAUUCCCUAUGUUUUAUGCAUCAAUACAAAAAUCACACUAAGAUGGCUUCUUUUUUCUCAUACUUGCUUGUGUUUUUCUUUGCAUUUCUGAUUCUCAUCCCUCAAGGCUUUGGUAAUAAUCCUAGCCAUAAUAAACAUUUACAUCAUCCACCAUCAACAUAUGUACAUCCUACCACCUUACCCAAACCAAUUUACCCUGCCAGUACCAACAUUCCAAAAAAGCAUCCUCACCACCCUCCAAAAGAAGAUAACACUCAUUUCUAAAGUAUGAAAUGAGAGUUUUGAACUAUAUAUAUGUACUGAAUAGGUGGUCCUAGUUACCAAGCUGUUUGUUUUCUAUAGUAAUAUGUACU
rnacentral:lncRNA from 1 species